UGAGGAAUAUUGGACAAUGGGGGAGAGCCUGAUCCAGCCAUCCCGCGUGAAGGACGACUGCCCUAUGGGUUGUAAACUUCUUUUAUACUGGGAUAAACCUACCCUCGUGAGGGUAGCUGAAGGUACAGUAUGAAUAAGCACCGGCUAACUCCGUGCCAGCAGCCGCGGUAAUACGGAGGGUGCAAGCGUUAUCCGGAUUUAUUGGGUUUAAAGGGUCCGUAGGCGGAAUCGUAAGUCAGUGGUGAAAUC
rnacentral:rRNA from 1 species